ensembl:snRNA U6 U6 spliceosomal RNA
GUGCUCACUUUGGAAGCACAUAUGCUAAAGUUGGAAUGACACAGAGAAGAUUAGCAUGGCCCUUGUGCAAGGAUGACAAACAAAUUCAUGAAACAUUCCAUAUUUUU